UAAGCGACUAAGCGUACACGGUGGAUGCCCUGGCAGUCAGAGGCGAUGAAGGACGUGCUAAUCUGCGAUAAGCGUCGGUAAGGUGAUAUGAACCGUUAUAACCGGCGAUUUCCGAAUGGGGAAACCCAGUGUGAUUCGUCACACUAUCAUUAACUGAAUCCAUAGGUUAAUGAGGCGAACCGGGGGAACUGAAACAUCUAAGUACCCCGAGGAAAAGAAAUCAACCGAGAUUCCCCCAGUAGCGGCGAGCGAACGGGGAGCAGCCCAGAGCCUGAAUCAGUGUGUGUGUUAGUGGAAGCGUCUGGAAAGGCGCGCGAUACAGGGUGACAGCCCCGUACACAAAAAUGCACAUACUGUGAGCUCGAUGAGUAGGGCGGGACACGUGGUAUCCUGUCUGAAUAUGGGGGGACCAUCCUCCAAGGCUAAAUACUCCUGACUGACCGAUAGUGAACCAGUACCGUGAGGGAAAGGCGAAAAGAACCCCGGCGAGGGGAGUGAAAAAGAACCUGAAACCGUGUACGUACAAGCAGUGGGAGCACGCUUAGGCGUGUGACUGCGUACCUUUUGUAUAAUGGGUCAGCGACUUAUAUUCUGUAGCAGGGUUAACCGAAUAGGGGAGCCGAAGGGAAACCGAGUCUUAACUGGGCGUUAAGUUGCAGGGUAUAGACCCGAAACCCGGUGAUCUAGCCAUGGGCAGGUUGAAGGUUGGGUAACACUAACUGGAGGACCGAACCGACUAAUGUUGAAAAAUUAGCGGAUGACUUGUGGCUAGGGGGUGAAAGGCCAAUCAAACCGGGAGAUAGCUGGUUCUCCCCGAAAGCUAUUUAGGUAGCGCCUCGUGAAUUCAUCUCCGGGGGUAGAGCACUGUUUCGGCAAGGGGGUCAUCCCGACUUACCAACCCGAUGCAAACUGCGAAUACCGGAGAAUGUUAUCACGGGAGACACACGGCGGGUGCUAACGUCCGUCGUGAAGAGGGAAACAACCCAGACCGCCAGCUAAGGUCCCAAAGUCAUGGUUAAGUGGGAAACGAUGUGGGAAGGCCCAGACAGCCAGGAUGUUGGCUUAGAAGCAGCCAUCAUUUAAAGAAAGCGUAAUAGCUCACUGGUCGAGUCGGCCUGCGCGGAAGAUGUAACGGGGCUAAGCCAUGCACCGAAGCUGCGGCAGCGACACUGUGUGCGUUGUUGGGUAGGGGAGCGUUCUGUAAGCCUGCGAAGGUGUGUUGUGAGGCAUGCUGGAGGUAUCAGAAGUAGCGAAUGCUGACAUAAGUAACGAUAAAGCGGGUGAAAAGCCCGCUCGCCGGAAGACCAAGGGUUCCUGUCCAACGUUAAUCGGGGCAGGGUGAGUCGACCCCUAAGGCGAGGCCGAAAGGCGUAGUCGAUGGGAAACAGGUUAAUAUUCCUGUACUUGGUGUUACUGCGAAGGGGGACGGAGAAGGCUAUGUUGGCCGGGCGACGGUUGUCCCGGUUUAAGCGUGUAGGCUGGUUUUCCAGGCAAAUCCGGAAAAUCAAGGCUGAGGCGUGAUGACGGGGCACUACGGUGCUGAAGCAACAAAUGCCCUGCUUCCAGGAAAAGCCUCUAAGCAUCAGGUAACAUCAAAUCGUACCCCAAACCGACACAGGUGGUCAGGUAGAGAAUACCAAGGCGCUUGAGAGAACUCGGGUGAAGGAACUAGGCAAAAUGGUGCCGUAACUUCGGGAGAAGGCACGCUGAUAUGUAGGUGAAGUCCCUCGCGGAUGGAGCUGAAAUCAGUCGAAGAUACCAGCUGGCUGCAACUGUUUAUUAAAAACACAGCACUGUGCAAACACGAAAGUGGACGUAUACGGUGUGACGCCUGCCCGGUGCCGGAAGGUUAAUUGAUGGGGUCAGCGCAAGCGAAGCUCUUGAUCGAAGCCCCGGUAAACGGCGGCCGUAACUAUAACGGUCCUAAGGUAGCGAAAUUCCUUGUCGGGUAAGUUCCGACCUGCACGAAUGGCGUAAUGAUGGCCAGGCUGUCUCCACCCGAGACUCAGUGAAAUUGAACUCGCUGUGAAGAUGCAGUGUACCCGCGGCAAGACGGAAAGACCCCGUGAACCUUUACUAUAGCUUGACACUGAACAUUGAGCCUUGAUGUGUAGGAUAGGUGGGAGGCUUUGAAGUGUGGACGCCAGUCUGCAUGGAGCCGGCCUUGAAAUACCACCCUUUAAUGUUUGAUGUUCUAACGUUGACCCGUAAUCCGGGUUGCGGACAGUGUCUGGUGGGUAGUUUGACUGGGGCGGUCUCCUCCUAAAGAGUAACGGAGGAGCACGAAGGUUGGCUAAUCCUGGUCGGACAUCAGGAGGUUAGUGCAAUGGCAUAAGCCAGCUUGACUGCGAGCGUGACGGCGCGAGCAGGUGCGAAAGCAGGUCAUAGUGAUCCGGUGGUUCUGAAUGGAAGGGCCAUCGCUCAACGGAUAAAAGGUACUCCGGGGAUAACAGGCUGAUACCGCCCAAGAGUUCAUAUCGACGGCGGUGUUUGGCACCUCGAUGUCGGCUCAUCACAUCCUGGGGCUGAAGUAGGUCCCAAGGGUAUGGCUGUUCGCCAUUUAAAGUGGUACGCGAGCUGGGUUUAGAACGUCGUGAGACAGUUCGGUCCCUAUCUGCCGUGGGCGCUGGAGAACUGAGGGGGGCUGCUCCUAGUACGAGAGGACCGGAGUGGACGCAUCACUGGUGUUCGGGUUGUCAUGCCAAUGGCACUGCCCGGUAGCUAAAUGCGGAAGAGAUAAGUGCUGAAAGCAUCUAAGCACGAAACUUGCCCCGAGAUGAGUUCUCCCUGACUCCUUGAGAGUCCUGAAGGAACGUUGAAGACGACGACGUUGAUAGGCCGGGUGUGUAAGCGCAGCGAUGCGUUGAGCUAACCGGUACUAAUGAACCGUGAGGCUUAACCU
rnacentral:rRNA from 1 species